UACGGAGGGUGCGAGCGUUGUCCGGAAUCACUGGGCGUAAAGGGCGCGUAGGCGGCCUGAUAAGUAGGGGGUGAAAUCCUGCGGCUUAACCGCAGGGCUGCCUUCUAGACUGUCAGGCUAGAGCACAGUAUAGGCAGGUGGAAUUCCCGGUGUAGCGGUGGAAUGCGUAGAGAUCGGGAAGAACAUCAGUGGCGAAGGCGGCCUGCUGGGCUGUUGCUGACGCUGAGGCGCGACAGCGUGGGGAGCAAACAGG
rnacentral:rRNA from 1 species